UGCGCAGGCGGUUUUGUAAGACAGAUGUGAAAUCCCCGGGCUUAACCUGGGAACUGCGUUUGUGACUGCAAGACUUGAGUAUUGCAGAGGGGGGUAGAAUUCCACGUGUAGCAGUGAAAUGCGUAGAGAUGUGGAGGAAUACCGAUGGCGAAGGCAGCCCCCUGGGUCAAUACUGACGCUCAUGCACGAAAGCGUGGGGAGCAAACAGGAUUAGAUACCCUGGUAGUCCACGCCCUAAACGAUGCCAACUAGGUGUUGGGGAAGGAGACUUCCUUAGUACCGUAGCUAACGCGUGAAGUUGGCCGCCUGGGGAGUACGGUCGCAAGAUUAAA
rnacentral:rRNA from 1 species